AAAUCCACCAAGCGCCGCCUCGCCACUUAAGGCAAGUCCUCGCAAGCGCUCACUUUCGCCGACCUUUAUACAAAAUUCGCAUAAAAAACCGGACCAGGAAGUGUAAAUAACAAAUGGGCAGUCCUUUAUUUGCUCAAAAUUAUAUCUGAGGAUCGAAAAAAUGUGAAAACCCAGUUAGAUUCUUCGAUUUUGUUGCCCAAUUUGGCGUUAAACGACGGUGAAUUGGGCAACGAGUCGAGGGUUUUGUUGGGUAAGGGAAAUAAGGAAAAGGGUUGGAACAAUGGGGUUUUGUUAGUUUCGAAAGACCCAGAAAAUCUUCGGGAAAUUGCAUUUAGGGAGUUUGUGAACUUGAUUAAGGAAGAAAAUGAAGUUUCUGAAGAGGUUUUGGUGAGAGAUGUGUUGUAUGCUUGUCAAGGCAUUGAUGGCAAGUAUGUGAAAUUUGAUUCUGGUGCUGAUGGCUAUGUUUUAUCGGAUUUGAUUAAGGUUCCGAGAGCAAUCCGCCUGAUGGUUCGAAAGCUUUGUGAAUUGGGGUGGUUGUUUAGGAAGGUUAAAGGGUAUAUUUCAGAGAGUAUGGAUGGGUUUCCAUCUGAAGAUGUUGGAACUGUUGGUCAGGCCUUUUGUGCUGCAUUACAAGAUGAGCUCUCUGAUUACUAUAAGUUGUUGGCAGUGCUUGAAGCACAGUCGAUGAAUCCAAUUCCUUUGGUUUCAGAGACAGCAAGCUCAGGGAAUUAUCUUUCGCUGAGGAGGUUGUCUGUAUGGUUUGCAGAGCCAAUGGUGAAAAUGAGGUUGAUGGCCGUUUUGGUUGAUAAAUGUAGGGUUUUAAGGGGUGGGGCAAUGGCUGGAGCUAUUCAUUUGCAUGCCCAGCAUGGUGAUCCAUUGGUGCACGAGUUUAUGGGGCGCUUACUCCGGCGGGUGUGUUCUCCACUAUUUGAGAUGGUGAGGAGUUGGGUUUUGGAGGGAGAGUUGGAAGAUGUUUUUGCCGAAUUCUUUGUCGUUGGUCAGCCAGUGAAAGCUGAG